GGCCGCGGGAAUUCGAUUGGCCUAACACAUGCAAGUCGAGCGGGGUUUUCGGACCUAGCGGCGGACGGGUGAGUAAUGCGUAGGAAGCUGCCCGAUAGAGGGGGAUACCAGUUGGAAACGACUGUUAAUACCGCAUAAUGUCUACGGACCAAAGUGUGGGACCUUCGGGCCACAUGCUAUCGGAUGCGCCUACGUGGGAUUAGCUAGUUGGUGAGGUAAUGGCUCACCAAGGCGACGAUCUCUAGCUGGUUUGAGAGGAUGAUCAGCCACACUGGAACUGAGACACGGUCCAGACUCCUACGGGAGGCAGCAGUGGGGAAUAUUGGACAAUGGGCGCAAGCCUGAUCCAACCAUGCCGCGUGUGUGAAGAAGGCCUUCGGGUUGUAAAGCAAUGCAGCGAGGAGGAAGGAUGGUGUGUUAAUAGCACACCAUUUUGACGUACUCGCAGAAGAG
rnacentral:rRNA from 1 species